AAGCAGUCUUCAAUCAACCAACAAAUCUGAUGCCUCUCGAGACAUCCUCUGCACCCAUAACUGCAGAGCCUCCUCCUACCUUACCAGCAGAACCAACUGAUACUCCUGUUUAUUCUAUUAAAUGUUACAAAAGCCAUCAUGUACAAUAAACCAACCUAUGUGAUGCCACAAAAGGAAACAUCUAAAACCUCAAAACCAGAUUCAAGUGUUCAAAUGUGUAAUAUUGUACAAAUAGGCGGCAACUCCAAAGGUAUGGAUGAAAAUCUUCGCAACUUCAAAUCCAGUAUCACAAAAAUGCAAAGAAAUCUACCUGACAAUACAGACAACAAAUAUAUAUAAAUAUAUGUGUAUAUUAUGUGAUACUGCACCUACUUUUGUAUUUAAA